GUCUGUGGCCAUACCACCUUGAAGGUGCCCAAUCUCAUCUGAUCUCGGAAGCUAGGCAGAGUCAGGCCUGGUUAGUACUUGGAAGGAAGAAUGAGGAGGGAGAAAUUGUAGAAA
ensembl:rRNA 5S_rRNA 5S ribosomal RNA